AUAAGGUAAAGUACAAAUAGGAAACAGAAUCAUUGGAAAAUAUGCUACCUCAAUAGUCAAAGAAACUCAAACUAAAACAAAGAAAUACCUUAUUUAAUAUGCAAGUCAUUCAAAGGUUACCCCCAGUGGCAAGUAGGGUCUGGUAAAAGCUGUAUGUAUUUAUCACUGGCUAAAAUACAAAUCAGCUCAGCCCUUUGGUCAGGCAUAUGUCAAUUCAUGCAGCCAUAAAAAUAUUGAUGUCUUUUUUUAAAGUAUUGUUAUCUCUAACAUGUUUUUUAUUUUAUUUUUUUUAAAUUUUUUCUAACGUUUAUUUAUUUUUGAGACAGAGAGGCAGAGCAUGAACAGGGGAGGGUCAGAGAGAGAGGGAGACACAGAAUCUGAAACAGGCUCCAGGCUCCGAGCUGUCAGCACAUAGCCCGACUCGGGGCUCGAACUCAACGGACCGUGAGAUCAUGACCUGGGCUCGGAAGCUUAACUGACCGAGCCACCCAGGUGCCCCUAUUUUAUUUAUUUUUUUAAUGUUUAUUUAUUUUUGAGAGAGAGGGAGAAACAGAGAGAGAGGGAGACACAGAAUCUGAAGCAGGCUCCAGGCUCUGAGCUGUCAGCACAGAGCCCCAUGUGGGACUUGAACCCACGGACUCUGAGAUCACGACCUGAGCUGAAGUCAGAUGUUUAGCUGACUGAGCCAUCCAGACGCCCCAAAAUAUUAAUGUCUUUUGACUUAGUAAUCCCAACUCCUGGAAAUUUGUCCUGGGGAAAUUGUUUCCAAAGAAGAGAAAAAGCUGUGUGUGGGAAGAUCUUCAUUCAUCUGUAUCCAUCAAAGGGAAAAGGUGAGGGGCUAGAAAGAGCGAUGGUUUUGCAGUCAAGUGUCUGGGGUUUGAUGGCUUGAUCUUGGGAUCUGCCGCUUAGUGUCUGUGUGGUGUUGGAUAAGUGACUUGAUCUCCCUAAGUCUGUAUCUGCCAGGAUGGAAGGAGGGGAAUCAGGCUGGGAGAGUCGUGUGGGACCAGAGUAUGGAGGAUCUUGACUGCUAAGACAAGGUCCCCAGGCUCUAUGAAGUGGGUAAGAAGAGCAUUGCAAGUAUUUGACCCGAGCUCCACCUCAGGAAAGUUAAGCUGGUGGUGGCAUAUAAGAUAUAUGCAACUAGCGAGAAGGUGGAGGUAGGGAGGCCCUUUAGAAGGCUUCCACAGUAGUGUAUAUGAGAGGCAAUGACUAAUUAAAUGAUGCAGCCUAAAUUGUGCGAGUACUUUGUGGGUGAUGAGUCAUUAUCAUAAAUCUCCAGCCUCCCCGAAGCAUCUAUUUUAUAGCCUGCACUGAGCAGAAGUAUCACCUAAUAAUACCUUAUAUUUCUAAAGCCUUUUACGGUUCAAAAAGUGCUUUCAUGCGUAUUCUCUCAUACGAUCUUCUAGGGUGUUUACAAGUUGGUAUUGUGAAGGACUUGUCCCAGAUAUUGUAGCAGGCCUAUUCAUUUAUAAUUUCCAGGGUCCACCCCUCCUCUCCUUCCCUCAGUUCCCUUUUGUUCAGUAUUCAGCACUUUCCAGUUCUUUUUUCCAUUUCACUGCAGAAAAAGAAAAAAAAAAGAAAAGAAAAGAAAAACAGAGUGGCUGAACAAUGCCCCCUGCUUAAGUCCCCCAGAAGCAUAUUUUCUUUAGAGCAACAGAGGCUUUUGCAAUAUGGAAAAAGUGACAUUUGAUCUGAAGGAGUGUGGAGGGGAGCUCUGAGUGUGGGGGACUGACCUUUACUAACCACCUACCCAGAGCGGAGGCUGGAGAAGCGCGAGCUGAGCCUGCAGCAGUGAUGUCUGGUGCCCUCCACAGGCCAAAUUUUAUUGCCUUGACCUUUCUUCAAAUGAGAUGAUCUUCUGGGCCUCCUUACCCUGGACCCCUACUCCAGGCAGCACUGGAAUUGAAACCUGUUACCCGGGAAGAAGCUCCAUGGAGUCAGAGCUGCAGAAAUCUGGCCACAGAAUCCUACCCUAAGAGCACCGAGCCCAAAGUCUGGAGCCAAGAAGUAAAGCCAUCACCAGCAGAUUUGAGACACCUAAAAUGGGGGAAUCCUGGUGUAGACAAUAGGACUUCUCAGCCCAUUACUCCUGCACCAAAAGCAUGCCAUGAUGAGGGUCACCUACCUGGCCUUCACGUACAUGAAGAACCACACAAUUCCACUACAAAAUGGCCUCUGUUUAAAUCAUAAAUGUUGAAGUCUGCAAAUAAAUGCAAAUCUAUUUCUGGUGUGCUUGUUCUAACACUGAUAGAAAGACGUGUUCCCACAGAUGGAGCUUGGGAACAAGUGCCCACAGCUCAGGGGACUAAGGUACUCCAGGGGCAUUUAAUCUUCAUCUACAACACUUUUCAUAGAAUUGUUUCAAUUGCUUCUAUAGAAAAGGGAACAUCAUAUCAUUUUAGGUAUUGAUAAACACACAGAAACAUGACCUUGAGCCUUGGUGCUGAUCUGAUUUCAGAGAAAAAGAAUUCCUACUUGAGAAUCACAUAGGAGAAAAUUUUGUCUUUUCUUCUCAGAAUUGGAGAGGAGGCAAACGUUCAAGGGGAGCAAGAAUCGAAUACCAAGUUAUUAGUGUGUUGGGAAUGUGUACAUCUUCAAGUCUUUUGUG